AGAGUUUGAUCCUGGCUCAGAUUGAACGCNGGCGGUAUGCUUUACACCAUGCAAAGUCGAACGGGCUUGGGGGCUUGCUCCCGGGUUAGUGGCGAACGGGUGAGUAAUAUAUCGGAACAUAUCCGGAAGUGGGGGAUAACGUAGCGAAAGUUACGCUAAUACCGCAUAUGCCCUGAGGGGAAAAGGGGGGGAUCGCAAGACCUCUCGCUUUCGGAGUGGCCGAUACCGGAUUAGCUAGAUGGUGAGGUAAAGGCUCACCAUGGCGACGAUCCGUAGCGGGUCUGAGAGGACGACCCGCCACACUGAACUGAGACAC
rnacentral:rRNA from 1 species